rnacentral:rRNA from 1 species
UACGUAGGGUCCAAGCGUUGUCCGGAUUUACUGGGCGUAAAGGGCGCGUAGGCGGCGCAACAAGUCACUUGUGAAAUCUCCGGGCUUAACCCGGAGAGGCCAAGUGAUACUGUCGUGCUAGAGUGCGGAAGGGGCUACUGGAAUUCUCGGUGUAGCGGUGAAAUGCGUAGAUAUCGAGAGGAACACCUGCGGCGAAGGCGGGUAGCUGGGCCGACACUGACGCUGAGGAGCGAAAGCGUGGGUAGCAAACAGG